rnacentral:rRNA from 1 species
AUAUCAAUAAGCGGAGGAAAAGAAACCAACAGGGAUUGCCUCAGUAACGGCGAGUGAAGCGGCAACAGCUCAAAUUUGAAAUCUGGGUCUUUCAGGCUCCGAGUUGUAAUUUGUAGAGGAUGUUUCGGCUCAGGCCCCGGUCUAAGUUCCUUGGAACAGGACGUCACAGAGGGUGAGAACCCCGUAUGUGGCCGGCGGCUGCCGCCAUGUGAAACUCCUUCGACGAGUCGAGUUGUUUGGGAAUGCAGCUCUAAAUGGGAGGUAAAUUUCUUCUAAAGCUAAAUACCGGCCAGAGACCGAUAGCGCACAAGUAGAGUGAUCGAAAGAUGAAAAGCACUUUGGAAAGAGAGUUAAAAAGUACGUGAAAUUGUUGAAAGGGAAGCGCUUGCGACCAGACUUGCCCGCGGAUGCUCCGCCGGUCCUUCGGCCGGUGUACUCUUCCGCGGUCAGGCCAGCAUCAGUUCGGGCGGCCGGAUAAAGGCUUCGGGAAUGUGGCUCCCCUCUUUUGU